ACUCCUACGGGAGGCCCCAGCAGUGGGGAAUCUUGCACAAUGGGCGAAAGCCUGAUGCAGCAACGCCGCGUGCGGGAAGACGGCCCUAGGGUUGUAAACCGCUUUCAGGAGGGAAGAAAAUGACGGUACCUCCAGAAGAAGGUGCGGCCAACUACGUGCCAGCAGCCGCGGUGACACGUAGGCACCAAGCGUUAUCCGGAUUUAUUGGGGCGUAAAGAGCUCGUAGGCGGUUCGGUAAGUCGGGUGUGAAAUCCAAGGCUCAACCUUGGGACGCCACCCGAUACUGCUGUGACUCGAGUGCAGUAGGGGAGCAGGGAAUUCCUGGUGUAGCGGUGAAAUGCGCAGAUAUCAGGAGGAACACCAGUGGCGAAGGCGCUGCUCUGGGCUGUAACUGACGCUGAGGAGCGAAAGCAUGGGUAGCAAACAGGAUUAGAUACCCUGGUAGCGACUGA
rnacentral:rRNA from 1 species